UUCCUUCAAUUCUUCUAGGAGUGCUUCAUGUGAGGUACGGAUGGGAGCUAACUCAGCAGAGAUUAUUGAUCUCAUCUCUUCCCUCAUCUGCUGGCACAUCAUAGAUGCUAGGGUGUGCAUCUGCUCAUCUGAUAAGGACAAUGAUCCACUAGCUGGAGGAGGAGGCACUGAAGUGGAUGGUCCAGCCGAGCUGGAAGGUACAUCAGGAAAGGCCAUAGGGCUAUGUGGAGGAGAGAG
rnacentral:lncRNA from 1 species